UCUUUAGAGAGGCUACUAUUUGCUCCGUCGACGGGCGAAGCGCCUUAAAAGAUCCAUCCCGACGCUUGAAGAGGGCAGCCGGAGAGGGAAGGGGGAAAUCCGAAACCCUAACCCGAGAGAGAGAGAGAGAGAGAGAGAGAGAGAGAGAGAGAGAGAGAAUGGACGCCAUUAGGAAGCAGCUCGACGUGCUCAUGGGGGCCAACCGCAACGGGGACGUGAGGGAGGUGAGCCACAAGUACUACGACCGUGACGUCUGCCGCCUCUUCUUGGCCGGCCUCUGCCCGCACGACCUCUUCCAGCUCACGAAAAUGGAUAUGGGUCCUUGUCCGAAGAUUCACUCCUUGCAGCUGAGAAAGGAAUAUGAAGAGGCAAAAGUAAAAGGUGAUCAUAAUUUUCAUAGGGAACUUGAGGAUAUGAUAGAAAGACUUAUUGUUGAGUGUGAAAGGAAAAUUCAAAGGGCUCUAAAGCGACUUGAGGAUGAGGAUGCUACUGCUGCUGUAGCAAUAUCCGUAUCUAAGGUUACUCAGACACCUGAAGUCAUGGAACUGUCGAAACAGAUAAAGGAGAAACUAAAAGAAGCUGAUGUUUUUGAUUUCGAAGGAAAAACUGAUAGUAAAAUGCGGGUUUUAGAAUUGGUGGAAGACCUCAAAGGCCAAAGAGCUGACAAGCAGUCGGUGCUUCUUCUCGAUGCCUUCAACAAAGACAGGGCUUCUUUGCCAUUGCCAAAUCAGAAUCCUUCUCAACCAGCAUCCUUGCCUGUUGUCAAUCCUCCAGAUCGUCAUACACAGGAAAUGAUCAAUGAAAAACUUAAGAAAGCAGAGGAUCUUGGUGAGAGGGGACUGAUAGAUGAAGCCCAGAAAGCUCUAGAAGAAGCAGAAACUCUGAAAAAGGUUUAUUCCUCUUUUGUUUUUGACUUUGUUAUGCAUCAAUUCAUGCUGGGUGCACGGCAAGAGCCAAUCCUAGAAUCAUCAAAGCAUAGUGUUGCUGACGUACGAAUAACAGAUCAGAAGUUGCGUGUAUGUGAUAUAUGUGGAGCAUUCUUGAGCGUCUAUGACAAUGAUCGUCGCUUGGCUGAUCAUUUUGGAGGAAAACUUCACCUUGGCUAUAUGCUAAUCCGUGAAAAACUAGCAGAACUCCAGGAAGAGAGGAACAAAAAACGAAAAGUUGAUCGAUUUGAAGAUGAUAGGAGGGCAAAAGAUCAAAGUAGGGAUCGUGAUAGGGCUGGAAGCAGGGAUCAAAGUGUAGGUAAAGAGGUUCAUGUUGAUAAUCGAAUUAGAGGCAGAGAAUUUGAUCGACGAAAUAAAGACCAUGAUCCACAUUAUGAUAGAGAUCUUAGAGACCAAAAUAGAGAUUCUGAUCAAUCCCGCAGUUAUGACUCAAGGAGCAGAAGGCCACGUUCUCGCUCAAGGGAUCAUGGUAGAGAUUAUGACCGUCAUAGGCGUCAUGGCAGGUGCUGAUAUAUUUCCAUCUGGAUUACUACGGGUAUCUGUCAUGGACCGAGAAGGUUAUAAUAAAUCAGCUUAAAUUACUCGAUUGCUUUGGAGGCGUUUGGAAGGAGGUUGUGAGUGGCUAUCUGUGGAAGGGAAUACAUUGGUGAUAUGAUACGAGAAUAUGUCUCUAAGCGUCACUGUAGAGAGAGAAAUGGCGUCUCCAAGCUAAAGAUCCUUUUCUAUUCCUUUUCCACUUCAUCAUCUUAAAGAACUAUAUUCACUAGACUUAGCUUGGUUUGGCUUGAAUCAUUUUGUUUGAUGAUUUAUCAAUUCUAAAUCGAAUCAGAAUCACAAAACUAGAAGUAGGAUACCUGAUGUAAUAUUUAUGUAUGUAUAUGUUUUUUAGUUUUAUUCAUACUUUGUAUAGUAUAUAGAGGGUUUAUAAUAUGUUUGACAGCUUUAGUGUGGUUGGCUUUUA